rnacentral:rRNA from 1 species
CCUACGGGAGGCAGCAGUGGGGAAUUUUGGACAAUGGGCGCAAGCCUGAUCCAGCCAUGCCGCGUGAGUGAAGAAGGCCUUCGGGUUGUAAAGCUUUAGUCCGGGAAAAAAGGGGUGCGAGGAUAAUACCCUCGUGCUUUGAUGGUACUGGAAGAAUAAGCACCGGCUAACUACGUGCCAGCAGCCGCGGUAAU